UACGUAGGGUGCAGGCGUUAAUCGGAAUUACUGGGCGUAAAGCGUGCGCAGGCGGCUCCUUAAGUCAGAUGUGAAAGCCCCGGGCUUAACCUGGGAACUGCGUUUGAAACUGGGGAGCUAGAGUGUAGAAGAGGGGGGUGGAAUUCCAGGUGUAGCAGUGAAAUGCGUAGAGAUCUGGAGGAACACCGAUGGCGAAGGCAGCCCCCUGGGCUAACACUGACGCUCAUGCACGAAAGCGUGGGGAGCGAACAGG
rnacentral:rRNA from 1 species